GGAUCUACUUACCAACGCAGAAAAUGAUACACACGGAUUCGAUUUAGGCACGCUACAUUCAAAUGACUUGGAAGAGCAGGUUCUCUGAGCCAGGAUACUAAAGUCCCUGUUUAGGAAAGAGCCACGUUGUAUGUUUACCCUACCACAAAGAUACAGAAUUCUGGAGGAAAGUGGCUCUGGGAAUUGAACAGUGGCUCAGUGAUGUUGGGGCCACCAAGUCUGCAAUUCUCCCUACCUGUUCUUCAUGGUUGUAAGAUGACUGCUGCAAUUCUCGGCAUCAUGUGCAUGUUAAUGUCAGGAGGAAGAAAGGAAGAGGGAGCACUGGGAUGUUACAUUCAUUUUGUCAGGAAAAGCAAAGCCUUUCCAGACAGCUCCGAAACUUGCUUACCUCUCAUUGGCCAGCACCAUCACUUGACCACUUGUCCACUCCUAGCUGCAAGGAAAGUGGCAAAGUAGAAGGUAUUUGAGAAUGUCUGCUGGGUUAGCCAAAACAAUAGUGACUUCUACACCCAAUUUUCUGGGCACUGCAGAAGUAUCCUUGAGUCCUAUGUGAUCAGAGGGAGAGCAAACCUCAAUAAUGAAACAGAUUCAAUUUCCAUCACCCAGUGAGACACCAUGGGAUUAGAAUAAAUUUUUAAAAAAACAAAUUGAAAAAAAUGCAUUUUUAAAACAACAAAAUCAGAAAGGAUGAAAGGUGAUAUUUCUAGCAUAUCAGUUUGUGGUGGUAAAUUAAUUACCUUAUACAAAGGCCUCAGUGACUUUCUUCUCCUUACCUAACGAAUCAUCUUUAAAAUAAGUAAAAUAAAGAAACAAGAGCAGCAGCAGAUGCUUCCUAAAAAGAAGUUACCAAAUCUGUUCACCACAAACCUGAGAAUUCAACUGUGGACAUUUGGACACCAGCAAUGAACAUGAAACUCAGCUUAUGAGGCAUAUUUGGCUAAAGGUCAAGGUGACUUAAAGUUCAUCAUAGGACAUCUACAAUUUGCAAAGCAGGUGACUGGAUAUGGACUCCUUCCAAGUCUCAUUUAAUUGGAUAAUGCCUACGUUUUAAGUAUCAGAAAGGGACCAUAAAGGUGCCAGCCUAAGGAACACGUAAAACGUGGGAACAGACAAACAAGCUGCUGCCUAUUACAGAGAUAGAUAAUUAACUUUGGACCAUUACAUGCAAUUCAUCAGCUUAUCUUUUUCAAACUUUAUAUAAGAAGUCAUUUCCCAAUGGUAACCACUUGCCAGCUGCAACUUUGACGCAUAUUAUCAGGAUAGGUGAGAUUGAUGGGGGCCCUUUGAACUCUUCCCAGGGAAUUAUCUUUAUAAUGUUACAGUUUUCUCUAUAGCAUGGUCAUAUUGUUAACAUUGGUUAUAAGGUCAUAUGGUUAGUAUGGUUAGUAUUGGUGGCUCACAGCUGUAAUACCAGCACUUUGGGAGGCCAAGGUGGGAGGAUCACUUGAGCCCUGGUGUUCAAAACCAGCUCUGGAAACAUAGCAAGACCUUGUCUCUACAAAAAAAAAUUAAAUAAAUUAAAAGAUUAGCUGGGCAUGGUGGCACAUGCCUGUAGUCCUCACUACUUGGGAAACUAAGGUGGGAGGAUCCUUUGAGCUUGGGAGGUUGAGGCUGCAGUGAGCUGUGGUUGUGCCAUGGCACUCCAGCCUGGGUGACAGAGUGAGAGCCUGUCUCAAAAAAAAAAAAAAAAAAAAAAAAAAGUACCUGUAAGGUCUUUGGGAUUUUGAAGAUGAAAGGUGUUGCAUAAAUUGAAUGAAUUCACUUAGAGAGAUAGAAGGCAACUACAGGGAAUAUUACGUACAUCAUGGAGCGGAAAGCACUAAGGCCUGUGGAAUUAUUCUCAGUGACACGUCGUUGAGGGCAGUGGUCCACAUGUUUUGAACAUGGUUUCUCCCAGGUGAAAAGGAUGAGUAAUUUGUUCUCCUUCACAUGUGUGUAUGUAGGUCUUAUACACAGCAGAUUUGCCACAAAACAAAUGAAGAUUACACUUUGGGCCCCUCUCUCACAUGAGCCCCUUCCAAAGUUCUGUUUGCUAAUUUUACAUUUUGUAAUUUCUUAUUAUUUUUCUUAAAGAAGCCUCCUCCAAUUGCAUAAACUUCAAGCCUCACAAAAUUUGGAUCCAUACCUGAGCCAACAUACAAUACAAUUUUCCAUUUCUAACUUUUAGUUGUACCUAGUGUUUUAUUGGAAAUGAUCAAGUACAUGAGUGGUGUCUUUUUAAAAAAUUUACUUUAUUUGCUUCUCUAGCUUCAUCGUUAGUUAGGCAGUUAAAUCUAACCAUUUGGAGGUAUUUUCAUAUAACCUCCAUUGAGGACAAUUUGGCAAUAGCUUUUAAAAUUAUAAAUAUAUUUGUACAGUUAUAAGCUGCCAUAUCUAUAAAACUAUUUGAUAGACAAAAGUUGAAAACCCUCCAAGAGCUCAUCAAUAAAAGAUUAAAUUAAUUAUGAUACAUCCAUAUGAGCACUGAGCAGCUGUGAAAAAAAUGAGGAAGUAAUUCCUGUGCUGAUAUGGGAAGACUUCCAAGACAUGUUGUUAAGUACAGAAUGGUGUAUACAGUAUGCUAUAUAGUGUGGUAAAAGGUUUAGGGAUAAGCAUUUAUAUUUAUAACUGUUUAUAUUUACAUAAAGUAAUUCUGAAAGGAUACAAAAAAGCUAACAAAAGAGAUUACCUGUGGUAGUGUGGGGCUUGGGGAUUGGAUGGGUGAGAAACAGUAGUGGAAAUGAGAUAUUGUACAGUUUAAGGCAUUAUACACCUAUAAAAACAUGGGAAUGUAUUACCUACUCAAAAAGUGAAAUUAAGAGAGAUACAAGAAACUGUUUGGAUGUUCCUUCCCGUUUCAAUGUAUCUAUAUUUUUUCAGCCCUCAAAGUUAUUAUAAAUGUCAUUAUAAUAACUUCAUAAAGCUUCCCCUAUAAUGAGAAUCUUACCAUUCUCCUAACUCCAAUAGCACUGUAAUCCACCUCUGUUAGGACACAUCACUCUUCAUCAUGUGUGAUUAUUAUUUGCAGAUAUCAUCUUCAAGGCUCUUCUCUAUUUACCACCUGCCAUUCUUGUUCUCACCUCUACAUGACCUUCACAUUUUAUUUCUCUCGGUUUUUUGGACAAGCUACAUUCCCUUCCACAGAGAAGGCUUCCCUGACCCCUUUCACUUGGUUGGAUUACCUUGCUAUUCUUUUCUAUCUUUGUACAUUCCUUUUCAAAAUACUUAUCUCCCUUGUUGUUACCUAUAAUGUCUGUCUUCUUUACUCAAGAGUCUAGACAAAAAGCUCCACGCCAGCCUCGGCUGUGUUUGUAUUGUUUACGUCUGUGUUCCUAGUGCUUAAUAAAAUACCUAGCAAGGGUUAAUAAGUACUUGUUGACUGGAAGGGAAUGACUUCCUUCCCUUACUAGAGAGUGAUUUCCUUACAGGCGAGAUGUGUCAACCUUCUAUAGCCCACAUAAAAUAAAGGACAAUAUCUCCUAUUGGAUAAAAGACAAGAAUUUACAUAUGAGUUUUGUCAUUUACCAUACCAGCUCUGGGAUCUUAACUUUUUAGCCUCUCUGGGCUUCAGAGCUCUCAUCUACAUUAAGUUUUUCAUUCAUUCUGUCAUUCAAUAAAUAUUUAUGGAAUGCUUAGCAUGUGCCACUAGUCUAGCAACUGUGGAUACUGAAGUACGCAAGGCAGAAUAGUACUUGCUAUCUGAAGCACACGGUUUAAUUGGGGUGGGGAAAGAGUUGGUGGGGAGGGUCUCAUUAAACAUAUAAGCCAAAUAAACCAAAAUUACAGGUAGAGUUAAGGCCAUGGCAGAGCAACUGAAGGUGAUGAAUUCAGAGAGGCCAGGAAGGGACCCUCUGAAGCGAUCAUAUCUGAACUGAGUUUUUGAGUCAACUAAAUGAGAUAGUGUCUGUGAAUGUCUUAGAAUCAUGUCUGGCAUGUAAUAAGUGUCAUAAAUGAUAAGUAUUACUAUUUAUAAAAACUUGUCAAAAAAUGAACCAAAAAUACAAGCAGCUUGUCUUUCACAUAUAAAAUACUAUAGUUGCAACAUGUAUAUGUCUUUGUAUAGUGAGAAAGCAUAUUGUAUGUAUAUUAUAUUUCAUUUGAGUAAGUUAUUUUUUAACUGAAGGAAUCUCCUAUUUUGGUUCUGAAAUAGUUAACGUUCCUUUUAAGUAGUCUCAUUUAUACCUUGAGAGUGAUUUAAUUACCCACAGCAUCUGUUUAACAUUGUACUCACAGAGAAAUCACAGAAACGUAUGCAACAUUGGUUGUUCCUAAGUAGAUUCAAUGUUCUCUAAGGUCUCAUUAACCUGUAAGUUCUCACAUGUUUGUUACAUCUGAGCUAAUGAAGAAAUAGCCAGGGGUAAGGAACUGAGAAAGAGACUAUGGCUGUCUCAACACAAACCCAUUCCAGGACUGUAAAAAAUAUCUGACAAGUCAUAUCUUCCCAGUGUGGUAGUAAAAUCACUGGAGUGUAUUGGAUGGUAUAAGCAACUGAAGAGGAUUAAGAAUGGCCUCUGUGGCUGGGCACAGAGGUUCACGCUUGUAAUCUCAGAACAUUGGGAGGCUUAGGUGGGAGAAUCACUUGAACUCAGGAGUCUGAGACCAGCUUGGGCAACAUAGGAAGACCCCCACCUCUACAAAAAAAAAUUAAAAAUUAGCUGGGUCUCGUGGUGCACGUCUGUGGUCCCAGCUACUCAAGAGGCUGAGGUGGGAGGAUUGCUUGGGCCCAGGAGGUUGAGGCUGCAGUGAGCCAAGAUCACACCACUGCACUCAAGCCUAGGUGAUGGAGCAAUAACCACUCUAGAAAAAAAAAAAGAAAAAAGAAAGGAAAAAAAAAAAGAAUGGUCUCUUUGCCAGGCAUUUCUCCUUUAGUCCCUAAAAAACAUAGGCAGUAGGUAGCUGCCUCAAGUUGGAUUCUUCAGAAGCUGACCCUUAGACGCAGGAGAGAGAAGUGUAAGAUGGGGAUAAAAGUCUCUUUUCCAGGUAAAGUCUCUGCCUGGGCUGGGGUAUUCUAGGGUAAUGUGUAAAUUACACAUUGAAGUUUGUCCUUAUUUGAGGUUAGAGAAUUAGGCUUUCAAACUCCUGCACCAGUCACUCACUGGCUAUGACCCCAAGCAGCUCCAGUAGCCCAAGGGCAGUUCCCCAAAGACAGCCACAGAUAUGGGCUGGGCAAGCAAAUGACAGAGGGGCUUUCUGCACAGAAAUGAUGAAGGAGGCCCACAGAAUCAGGGCAGAGCCCUACCCGUGCUCUACGGCAUUCAUAUCCCCAAUUUACAUGGGAGAAAAUCCGACACUCAGAGAGGUCAAGUACUUCAUUAAAGGUAACUGUUUAAGGGGCAGAGCUUGGCUACAAACCCAGACAGAUUUGACUCCACAGUUCAUGCUCACUCUUCUCUACCAAAUGUGCCUCCCUUUCCUGACCAUCAGUUAUAUAUUCAGGAACAUAUUCUGUAUUUAUAUAAAUAGACAUUAUUAACCUAGCUUCCUGAGGCAGAAGAUUCUAUCAGGAAUUGUAGUGAAAUAUUAUAUUUGGGGAUCUCUAGAAGAGCACUACCUAAAAUCAAUGCAAUGAAAGCUACCUGUGUAAUUUAAAAUUUACUAGUGCUCUCAAUAAAAAGGAAAAUAAAUAAGAGAAAUUAAAUUAAAUAAUAUAUUUUAUUUUACCCAACAUACCCAAAAUAUUAUUUCAACAUAUAAUCAAUAUUUUAAAAUGUAAAAUU
rnacentral:lncRNA from 1 species